UACAUGUCCACUAAAGUUAUUGCCAAGACAU
rnacentral:piRNA from 1 species